CCUACGGGGGGCAGCAGUGAGGAAUAUUGGUCAAUGGGCGCUAGCCUGAACCAGCCAAGUAGCGUGAAGGAUGACUGCCCUAUGGGUUGUAAACUUCUUUUAUAUGGGAAUAAAGUGCAGUAUGUAUACUGCUUUGCAUGUACCUUAUGAAUCAGGAUCGGCUAACUCCGUGCCAGCAGCCGCGGUAAUACGGAGGAUCCGAGCGUUAUCCGGAUUUAUUGGGUUUAAAGGGAGCGUAGGCGGGUUGUUAAGUCAGUUGUGAAAGUUUGCGGCUCAACCGUAAAAUUGCAGUUGAUACUGGCAUCCUUGAGUACAGUAGAGGUAGGCGGAAUUCGUGGUGUAGCGGUGAAAUGCUUAGAUAUAACGAAGAACUCCGAUUGCGAAGGCAGCCUGCUGGACUGUAACUGACGCUGAUGCUCGAAAGUGUGGGUAGCAAACAGGAUUAGAUACCCCUGUAGUC
rnacentral:rRNA from 1 species